rnacentral:rRNA from 1 species
UACAGAGGGUGCAAGCGUUGUUCGGAAUUACUGGGCGUAAAGGGCGCGUAGGCGGCCUUCUAAGUCAGACGUGAAAUUCCCCGGCUUAACCUGGGAACUGCGUCUGAUACUGGAGGGCUUGAGUAUGGGAGAGGGAUGUAGAAUUCCAGGUGUAGCGGUGAAAUGCGUAGAUAUCUGGAGGAAUACCGGUGGCGAAGGCGGCAUCCUGGACCAUUACUGACGCUGAGGCGCGAAAGCUAGGGGAGCAAACGGG